UGCGUGCAUGUUCUACCAGUUGGAUA
rnacentral:piRNA from 1 species